ensembl:miRNA microRNA 199b
CUCCACUCCGUCUGCCCAGUGUUCAGACUACCUGUUCAGGACUACGAGAUUGUACAGUAGUCUGCACAUUGGUUAGGCUGUGCUGGGAUACACC